AUAGAUAAAGAUAAUUAUGUUUUUAUAUGAAUAACAUACUGUUAUUUACAAAUCCACUGUCAGUGAAUAAUAUAAGCAAUAACCAGUAUAUUAAUUUUGACUUUUAAUAGUAUUAAUGUACCUAGAGUUUAAUCUUGUAUAAGUUACAUAAAGACUGUUUUUGUUUUAAAUGUUGUUACAUGACACUAUAUAUCAUAUUUUUUAUAAUAUUUUAAUUGCAUUUAAUAUUUAUAGUAUUUGUGUUAAUAAAUAUACUGAUAUUUAGUUGAUUAUUUUUAAAUUUAACUCAAUUAAAAUUUAUAUAAUAUUUUAUUUUUAAAUUGUGGGUAAAUUAAUACAAAUAUAAGAUUAUUCAGUUUAUGUUCAACUUAAACACUGAAUAGUUUUUAUAAUUCCUGAACUUGCCUACCCAACAUGAAUUUUGUAUU